ensembl:lncRNA
AUGCCGCGUUUGUGGAACACACUGAUUAGCACCGCUGAGGGAGGCGGGCUGCUCCCUGCAGGAGAACGUGAUGGUGUCUCUGGCCAACGCGCGCCUUCUGCUUCCUGUGUUCCAGCUGGAGAGGAGGAAGUGGCAGCUGGAGAGGAGGAAGUGGCAGCUGAGGAGGCCGGCGAAGAGGAGGCUGCCGCUGAUGGCGAAGGAGAGACCGUAGCCGAGGUCGUGGCCGAGGUUGCAGAGGUCGUCGCUGAGGCGGCGGAGGAGGUCGCCGAGGCGGCAGAGGAAGUUACAGAGGUCGCUCGUGAAGUGGAGGCGGUCGCGGGAGAGGUGGCUAAGGCGGCCGAAGCCGCCCCCCAAGCCGCCGCAGAACCAGCCGCCGAGGGGCCCGACAGCAACGUGCCGCUGGCUGCUGCUUCUGCUCUAGAAGUACCAAAGAUCAUUGAAGUGACGGAAGAGUUAGCCGCAGCCAUUCAGGACAUCGAUGAGUCCCUUGCACAAGUUGAGGAGGCUACCAAGCCAGCAGAAGAGUCCCCAGCACCAGUAGAGCCUGCACCAGUUGAAGACACCCCAGCACCAGUAGAGGUUGCACCAGUUGAAGAGGCCCCAGCACCAGUGGAGGUUGUUGAAGAGGCCCCAGCACCAGUAGAGGUUGUUGAAGAGUCCCCAGUAGAGGCUGCACCAGUUGAAGAGGCCCCAGUAGAGGCUGCACCAGUUGUUGAAGAGGCCCCGGCACCAGUAGAGGCUGCACCAGUUGAAGAGGCCCCGGCACCAGUAGAGGCUGCACCAGUUGUUGAAGAGGCCCCGGCACCAGUAGAGGCUGCACCAGUUGAAGAGGCCCCGGCACCAGUANNNNNNNNNNGAGGCUGCACCAGUUGUUGA